rnacentral:rRNA from 1 species
AACGAACGCUGGCGGCAGGCCUAACACAUGCAAGUCGAGCGCCCUUUCGGGGUAGCGGCGGACGGGUGAGUAACGCGUGGGAAUAUGCCCUUCUCUACGGAAUAGCCUCGGGAAACUGAGAGUAAUACCGUAUACGCCCUGUGGGGGAAAGAUUUAUCGGGGAAGGAUUAGCCCGCGUUGGAUUAGGUCGUUGGUGGGGUAAUGGCCUACCAAGCCGAAGAUCCAUAGCUGGGUUGAGAGGAUGAUCAGCCACACUGGGACUGAGACACGGCCCAGACUCCUACGGGAGGCAGCAGUGGGGAAUCUUAGACAAUGGGGGCAACACUGAUCUAGCCAUGCCGCGUGAGUGAUGAAGGCCUUAGGGUUGUAAAGCUCUUUCAGCUGGUAAGAUAAUGACGGUACCAGCAGAAGAAGCCCCGGCUAACUCCGUG